UACGUAGGGGGCAAGCGUUAUCCGGAUUUAUUGGGCGUAAAGAGCUCGUAGGCGGCCGUUCGCGUCGGAUGUGAAAGCUCAGGGCUCAACCCUGAGACGCCAUUCGAUACGGGACGGCUAGAGGUAGGUAGGGGAAAGUGGAAUUCCUGGUGUAGCGGUGAAAUGCGCAGAUAUCAGGAGGAACACCGGUGGCGAAGGCGGCUUUCUGGGCCUUACCUGACGCUGAGGAGCGAAAGCUGGGGUAGCGAACAGG
rnacentral:misc_RNA from 1 species